rnacentral:rRNA from 1 species
GCCGCCAUAGGAUGGGUCUGCGGCCGAUUAGGUUGUUGUUGGGGUAACGGCCCAACAAGCCUGUAAUCGGUACGGGUUGUGGGAGCAAGAGCCCGGAGAUGGAUUCUGAGACACGAAUCCAGGCCCUACGGGGCGCAGCAGGCGCGAAAACUUUACAAUGCGGGAAACCGUGAUAAGGGAACUCCGAGUGCCCGUAAAAUCGGGCUGUCCAUCUGUUUAAAUAACAGGUGAAGAAAGGGCCGGGCAAGACCGGUGCCAGCCGCCGCGGUAAUACCGGCGGCUCGAGUGGUGGCCACUAUUACUGGGCUUAAAGCGUUCGUAGCUGGUCUGUUAAGUCUCUGGGGAAAUCUACUGGCUUAACCAAUAGGCGUUUCAGGGAUACUGGCAGACUAGGGACCGGGAGAGGUGAGAGGUACUCCAGGGGUAGGAGUGAAAUCCUGUAAUCCUUGGGGGACCACCUGUGGCGAAGGCGUCUCACCAGAACGGCUCCGACAGUGAGGGACGAAAGCUGGGGGAGCAAACCGGAUUAGAUACCCGGGUAGUCCCAGCCGUAAACGAUGCGCGUUAGGUGUAUCGAUGACCACGAGUCAUCGAGGUGCCGAAGAGAAAUCGUGAAACGUGCCGCCUGGGAAGUACGGUCGCAAGGCUGAAACUUAAAGGAAUUG